GCUGAUACAAGCGAGGAUUGCUCUGACAUAAGUGAAAUUGAAAAUGUUAUCAUGAUCUUGAACAGUUCUCGAGUUAAAUACAAGGUAUAUACACAAAUUUGAGUCCCAACUCACAAUCAGGUAGACAUUAAUCUUUCCUUUAUACGUACUACUGUUCAUUGGUAAAACUUCUGCUAUUAAACUAUCCAUCAUUUUGUAAGUCUUUCAUAUGGAACAUCUAACGAAAGCUAUCUUUCUGGGUUUAUCUAGUUUAACAACCAUUUAUAUUGCAUAAUGAUUAAAAUCUGAUGGAUAGGAAACUGUAUUUUUUUUUUGGCCUUUGUUGUGAUGUCUCUUAUAUUUGUAAUGGUGUCAUUGUGUGGGCGCAUAUAACUUUUGGCUCAUCAGACAUGCGAAACAGUUUGUUGAUGUCCUUGAUUUGCUCGACUUUCUCUUUCAGGAACUUCAGAGUGUCGUUGGGCCAAUCGAGAGGAGACACCUCAGUGAGCUAGAAAGGCAAUUAAGCAGAUACGUCAAGGUUGUAGGGAAGGAGCUGUCUGAUCGUAUGGUUUAUUCCCUUAGCUGACCUGACCAAGUAAAUAUUUCCUUGAGAUGGCAAUGCAACUGUUUGAAGGUGCACAUGGAAAUUAAACUCAUCAUUUGUGCAAAGUUUAAGCUCAUCGAUUUGCUGUCAAAAAACAGAUGACUCAAAAUAGAUGCAGACAAGACACAUUGUCCGGUGGAACUUUUUUUUUGUCAGUCUUCUGGUUCCCAUGGCAAUUGCAUGAAUAGUCCAUUUGAACUGUGCAUAUGGUUUUAGACUAUAUGUAUAUCACACAUGUUUCAUGGCUGUGCUGAAAUAAGUGAAGUGUGGUUCCAAUUGGGGAUUUAUAUACAGCGGCGGCCGCUUUGUUCCAAAAACUUUGCUGCAUCACUGCGUUGUGCUCCACAAAGGAUAGCAUCUUCGUAAGGACAGACAGGACGCGCGGCACCCCCCACGUGAAGGUGUCAAGCGCCGGCAGGCAACGUGUGACUCGCUGCCAAUGCGGCCAUCCCGGCACUCACCGCGUGCUAACCGGGUGCCAAAUGCAUAGUCCAGCAAGCCUAACUUGCUCGCUGCACGAUUCUUCGCUAAAGUGGAAAUUAGGCUCCAUGGCGGAGAUCCGUCAGACGGUCGCUUCCAUUAUUUUAUUGCAAAGGACUGCCCCUCUCGGUGCAAUGGCAGAAAAUCUCAUGGGUGCGGUUGGGAGCAACGGCAUGGAGUACACGCGUAGCUAGGAAGGGCGCGGUCACAGAAGGGUUGGGCCGUGAAACGUGGAUACAGACGUCUUUUAAGAAUAGAUACAUUUAUAUUUAGAAAUAUUUGGAAGAGGAGCACUUGUCAUGGUUUCAGCGAUACGUAUCUAGAAACGGAGGAGUUCUAAACGAUUCGGGAAAUGCCUUUACAGUACCUAUCAGUACAGCGCCUGCUGUGCACCAGUGCUCUGUGCAGUCACUGACAUCUCUGCAUUCACGCUUCGUCUUUUUCUGAGAUGCUCCGUACAACCAUCUGUUCUCGUUGUAAAUAUCUGAUAUUCCUUUUCUUUUCGGUGGAAAACAUUUGAUACCUCCGUACUGUCUUGAGCGGCCGACUUGGGUACCUACAGCAUGGCGGAGGUUCUCCCUUGCCUCAGAUAUUUUCACCGCUCAAACGGUGUUCAUGGCAUGACCUGUCGACCUUAUCAAGUUAGCUGACCCCGAUACCAUUACCAGAGGUCCAGAGCAGCAUCGACACGCCAAACCUGG
rnacentral:lncRNA from 1 species